rnacentral:rRNA from 1 species
AGAGUUUGAUUCUGGCUCAGGAUGAACGCUAGCGGCAGGCCUAAUACAUGCAAGUCGAAUGGUAAAUAUUGUAGCAAUACGAUAUGAGAGUGACGUAAGGGUGCGUAACAAGUAUGCAAUCUGCCCUCAACUGGAGGAUAGCUCCCCGAAAGGGGAAUUAACACUCCAUAAUAUGUGUGAGCCGGCAUCGGCUAGACAUUAAAACUCCGGUGGUUGAGGAUGAGCAUGCUUCUGAUUAGCUAUUUGGUGGUGUAAAGGACCACCAAGGCGAUGAUCAGUAGGGGAACUGAGAGGUUGAUCCCCCACACUGGCACUGAGAUACGGGCCAGACUCCUACGGGAGGCAGCAGUAGGGAAUAUUGGUCAAUGGAUGCAAGUCUGAACCAGCCAUGCCGCGUGCAGGAAGAAGGCCUUCUGGGUUGUAAACUGCUUUUAUCUGGGGAUAAAAAGGGGGUGCGCCCCCAACUGAAGGUACCAGAUGAAUAAGCCACGGCUAACUACGUGCCAGCAGCCGCGGUAAUACGUAGGUGGCAAGCGUUGUCCGGAUUUAUUGGGUUUAAAGGGUGCGUAGGCGGUCUAUUAAGUCAGUGCUGAAAUAUCCCGGCUUAACCGGGAGGGUGGCAUUGAUACUGAUGGACUUGAGUGCAGUCGAGGUAGGCGGAAUUGACGGUGUAGCGGUGAAAUGCUUAGAUAUCGUCAAGAACACCGAUAGUGAAGACAGCUUACUAGACUGUAACUGACGCUGAGGCACGAAAGUGUGGGGAUCAAACAGGAUUAGAUACCCUGGUAGUCCACACCGUAAACGUUGAUUACUCGAUGUGUGCGAUAUACAGUACGCGUCUUAGCGCAAGCGAUAAGUAAUCCACCUGGGGAGUACGCCGGCAACGGUGAAACUCAAAGGAAUUGACGG